AUCGCUUCUCGGCCUUUUGGCUAAGAUCAAGUGUAGAAGUGUUCAUGAAAGCUAGCCUUACAAGCUUCUUGAGGAUGUGCAGCCUUUCAAGUUUCUUUGGUCUUGGUACAGGUUUUUGUCUAUUUGUUUUUGAGCCCUAACUGAUGGAGCCUCUGGCAUUGCUGGCUUUGCUUAGGGUACUUU